rnacentral:rRNA from 1 species
UACGUAGGGUGCGAGCGUUGUCCGGAAUUAUUGGGCGUAAAGAGCUCGUAGGCGGUGUGUCACGUCGGCCGUGAAAACCUGCAGCUUAACUGUGGGCGUGCGGUCGAUACGGGCAUCACUGGAGUUCGGCAGGGGAGACUGGAAUUCCUGGUGUAGCGGUGAAAUGCGCAGAUAUCAGGAGGAACACCGGUGGCGAAGGCGGGUCUCUGGGCCGAUACUGACGCUGAGGAGCGAAAGCUAGGGGAGCGAACAGG